UACGUCAAGAAGAAACAUGCCGUUUCUCACCUUUCAGCCUUUUGCUAGUUGGGUUAGAUUUUAAUUUUGUUUAUUAUUAAGAGCGGCAUUUGUCGCUCUUUUAUUGUGCA
rfam:Clostridium acidisoli DSM 12555 genome assembly, contig: EJ29DRAFT_scaffold00002.2